CCCUUAGAUGUUCUGGGCCGCACGCGCGCUACACUGACGGAGGCAGCGAGCAUGUCCUUCGCCGAGAGGUGUGGGGAAUCUUGUGAGUCUCCGUCGUGCUGGGGAUAGAUGGUUGCAAUUGUCGAUCUUGAACGAGGAAUUCCUAGUAAACGCAAGUCAUCAGCUUGCAUUGAUUACGUCCCUGCCCUUUGUACACACCGCCCGUCGCACCUACCGAUUGAAUGGUCCGGUGAAAUCUCCGGACUGGCGUGAGUCGGAGCAAUCUGACAAACACCGGAAAGUUGAUUAAACCUUACCAUUUAGAGGAAGGUGAAGUCGUAACA
rnacentral:rRNA from 1 species